rnacentral:rRNA from 1 species
GACGAACGCUGGCGGCGUGCUUAACACAUGCAAGUCGAACGGAAAGGCCCAGCUUGCUGGGUACUCGAGUGGCGAACGGGUGAGUAACACGUGGGUGAUCUGCCCUGGACUCUGGGAUAAGCCUGGGAAACUGGGUCUAAUACCGGAUAUUCACUUUCUCUCGCAUGGGGGUUGGUGGAAAGCUCUUGCGGUUCAGGAUGGGCCCGCGGCCUAUCAGCUUGUUGGUGGGGUAAUGGCCUACCAAGGCGACGACGGGUAGCCGACCUGAGAGGGUGAUCGGCCACACUGGGACUGAGACACGGCCCAGACUCCUACGGGAGGCAGCAGUGGGGAAUAUUGCACAAUGGGCGCAAGCCUGAUGCAGCGACGCCGCGUGAGGGAUGACGGCCUUCGGGUUGUAAACCUCUUUCACCAGGGACGAAGCGUGAGUGACGGUACCUGGAGAAGAAGCACCGGCCAACUAC